rnacentral:rRNA from 1 species
GACGAACGCUGGCGGCACGCUUAACACAUGCAAGUCGAACGAGAGAAGAGAAGCUUGCUUUUCUGAUCUAGUGGCGGACGGGUGAGUAACACGUGAGCAAUCUGCCUUUCAGAGGGGGAUACCGAUUGGAAACGAUCGUUAAUACCGCAUAACAUAAUUGAACCGCAUGAUUUGAUUAUCAAAGAUUUAUCGCUGAAAGAUGAGCUCGCGUCUGAUUAGCUAGUUGGUAAGGUAACGGCAUACCAAGGCGACGAUCAGUAGCCGGACUGAGAGGUUGAUCGGCCACAUUGGGACUGAGACACGGCCCAGACUCCUACGGGAGGCAGCAGUGGGGAAUAUUGCACAAUGGAGGAAACUCUGAUGCAGCGAUGCCGCGUGAGGGAAGAAGGUUUUAGGAUUGUAAACCUCUGUCUGCAGGGACGAAAAAAGACGGUACCUGAGGAGGAAGCUCCGGCUAACUACG